rnacentral:misc_RNA from 1 species
GAAAUGCGAUAAGUAGUGUGAAUUGCAGAAUUCAGUGAAUCAUCGAAUCUUUGAACGCACAUUGCGCCCGCCAGUAUUCUGGCGGGCAUGCCUGUCCGAGCGUCAUUUCAACCAUCAAGCCCCGGGCUUGUGUUGGGGACCUGCGGCUGCCCGCAGGCCCUGAAAACCAGUGGCGGGCUCGCUGUCACACCGAGCGUAGUAGCAAUCACCUCGCUCAGGGCGUGCUGCGGGUUCCGGCCGUUAAACAGCCUUACAAAACCCAAGGUUGACCUCGGAUCAGGUAGGAAGACCCGCUGAACUUAAGC